rnacentral:rRNA from 1 species
UACGUAGGGUGCAAGCGUUGUCCGGAAUUAUUGGGCGUAAAGAGCUCGUAGGCGGUUUGUCGCGUCUGCUGUGAAAUCCCGAGGCUCAACCUCGGGCCUGCAGUGGGUACGGGCAGACUAGAGUGCGGUAGGGGAGAUUGGAAUUCCCGGUGUAGCGGUGGAAUGCGCAGAUAACGGGAGGAACACCCGUGGCGAAGGCGGCACUCUGGGACGGUACUGACGCUGAGACGCGAAAGCGUGGGGAGCAAACAGG